rnacentral:misc_RNA from 1 species
UACGGAGGGUGCAAGCGUUGUUCGGAAUUACUGGGCGUAAAGGGCGCGCAGGCGGCCUGCCAAGUCUGAUGUGAAAGCCCCCGGCUCAACCGGGGAAGCGCGUUGGAAACUGGCAGGCUCGAGUACCGGAGAGGAGAGCGGAAUUCCUGGUGUAGCGGUGAAAUGCGUAGAUAUCAGGAGGAACAUCGGUGGCGAAGGCGGCUCUCUGGCCGAGUACUGACGCUGAGGCGCGAAAGCGUGGGGAUCAAACAGG